rnacentral:rRNA from 1 species
UACGUAGGGUGCAAGCGUUGUCCGGAAUUAUUGGGCGUAAAGAGCUCGUAGGCGGUUUGUCGCGUCUGCUGUGAAAACCCGAGGCUCAACCUCGGGCCUGCAGUGGGUACGGGCAGACUAGAGUGCGGGUAGGGGAGAUUGGAAUUCCUGGUGUAGCGGUGGAAUGCGCAGAUAAUCAGGAGGAACACCAUGGCGAAGGCAGAUCUCUGGGCCGUAACUGACGCUGGAGGAGCGAAGGCAUGGGGAGCGAACAGG